AGGUUCAAAAAGAUAUGGCACGUACAUUACUUCGUCACAUAAGACCUUAUCAGCUGAAUUUCAAAAUCAGAGUUCGUGUUUUGAGAAUCUGGAGGCCAAAAAAUUUCAGAGCGAGAUAUAUGAUGGCCUUCACUAUGUCUUGGUCGAUGAGGAGGGAACUACAAUUCAUGCUAUGAUUAAAGAGUGUGACUACCUUCAUGUUGACAAAAAAAUGCAAGAAGGAAAGAUCUAUGACAUUUCAUUGUUCGCCACAAAAAACCACUUUGGGACAAA